rnacentral:rRNA from 1 species
AACGAACGCUGGCGGCAGGCUUAACACAUGCAAGUCGAACGGGCGUAGCAAUACGUCAGUGGCAGACGGGUGAGUAACACGUGGGAACCUUCCUCGUAGUACGGAACAACUCAGGGAAACUUGAGCUAAUACCGUAUACGUCCGAGAGGAGAAAGAUUUAUCGCUAUGAGACGGGCCCGCGUCCGAUUAGGUAGUUGGUGGGGUAACGGCCUACCAAGCCGACGAUCGGUAGCUGACCUGAGAGGAUGAUCAGCCACACUGGGACUGAGACACGGCCCAGACUCCUACGGGAGGCAGCAGUGGGGAAUCUUGGACAAUGGGCGCAAGCCUGAUCCAGCCAUGCCGCGUGAGUGAAGAAGGCCUUAGGGUUGUAAAGCUCUUUUGCCAGGGACGGUAAUGACGGUACCUGGAGAAUAAGCCCCGGCAAACUUCGUGCCAGCCGCCGCAGUAAAAC